rnacentral:rRNA from 1 species
UACGUAGGUGGCGAGCGUUAUCCGGAAUGAUUGGGCGUAAAGGGUGCGUAGGCGGCCUGCUAAGUCUGGAGCGAAAGGUACCGGCUCAACCGGUACAGGCUCUGGAAACUGGCGGGCUAGAGAGCAGGAGAGGGCGGUGGAACUCCAUGUGUAGCGGUAAAAUGCGUAGAUAUAUGGAAGAACACCAGUGGCGAAAGCGGCUCUCUGGUCUGUAACUGACGCUGAGGUUCGAAAGCGUGGGUAGCAAACAGG